UCCUACGGGAAGGCAGCAGUGAGGAAUAUUGGACAAUGGAGGCAACUCUGAUCCAGCCAUGCCGCGUGCAGGAUGACUGCCCUAUGGGUUGUAAACUGCUUUUAUAUAGGAAGAAACCUUUCCAUGCGUGGGAAUUUGACGGUACUAUAUGAAUAAGCACCGGCUAACUCCGUGCCAGCAGCCGCGGUAAUA
rnacentral:rRNA from 1 species